CCAUUUUCCUUUUUCUCUUGGGGGCGAUCGCAACAGCAAAUGAAGGGAGGAAAUUUUUGUAGAAGCUCUAAUUGAUUUCUCCUCUGCUCAGCUUUGCUUUCUUCUUUUUCUCUAGUUCGCUGAUACUUUCAAUGGGAGAGAUGGAGAAGAUUUCUGGACUGCUAUACGAAUUCCUGAAUUCCUCAAUUUUUUUUCUUUCUUGGGAACAAAAAUAUAUACAUAUGUAUUGUCCUUAAAUGGUACUGUUGACCCUGCACCUCCAGCUUUAUAAUGAAGACUUUCAUUGCUAAUGAAAGCUUGCAGAUUUUUUUUGGAAUUAGUACUAACUGAUGUGAAUUUGAGUUUACAUUCAUGUAAUUACUUUUAUAAUUCAGCCAUAAGCAGGAUCCUUUUUUUUU